ensembl:ncRNA B0350.76 ncRNA
AGUAUGAAGAGCUUCAAGGCGAUGGGCGGCUCCGGGAGCUUUGUGGUCCUGCGUCUCCGAAUCCUUCAAGGCAGCUGACCUCGAUGUUUUUGUGCUCUCUCUGUGUCCCAGAGGGU